rnacentral:tRNA from 1 species
GCAGGUAUAGCUCAAUGUUAGAGCGUCAGAUUUCGGUCUGAAGGUGGUAGGUUCAAUUCCUUCUACCUGCUCCA